AUCGAACGCUGGCGGCAGGCCUAACACAUGCAAGUCGAGCGGAGCGGCGGACGGGCGAGUAAUGCCUAGGAAUCUGCCUGGCCGUGGGGGAUAACGUCCGGAAACGGGCGCUAAUACCGCAUACUAUCAGAUGAGCCUAGGUCGGAUUCGCCAGUUGGUGGGGUAAAGGCCUACCAAGGCGACGAUCCGUAACUGGUCUGAGAGGAUGAUCAGUCACACUGGAACGUGGACACGCUCCAGACUCCUACGGGAGGCAGCAGUGGGGAAUCUUCGGCAAUGGACGAAAUUCUGACCGGGCAACGCCGCGUGAGUGAGGAAGGUUUUCGGAUUGUAAGGCCCUUUAAGUGGGGAGGCGUUACCAACAGAAUAAGCACCGGCUAACUUCGUGCCAGCAGCCGCGGUAAUAC
rnacentral:rRNA from 1 species